rnacentral:rRNA from 1 species
CCUACGGGGGGCAGCAGUGAGGAAUAUUGGUCAAUGGGCGCGAGCCUGAACCAGCCAAGUCGCGUGAGGGAAGACGGUCCUAUGGAUUGUAAACCUCUUUUGUCGGGGAGCAAACUACGCCACGCGUGGCGUUCCGCGCGUACCCGACGAACACGCAUCGGCUAACUCCGUGCCAGCAGCCGCGGUAAUACGGGGGAUGCGAGCGUUAUCCGGAUGUAUGGGGGUAAAAGGGUGCGCAGGCGGAAGAUCAAGUCAGCGGUAAAAGUGAGAGGCUCAACCUCUUCGAGCCGUUGAAACUGGUGGUCUGGAGUGAGUGAGAAGUAGGCGGAAUGCGUGGUGUAGCGGUGAAAUGCAUAGAUAUCACGCAGAACUCCGAUUGCGAAGGCAGCAUACCGGCGCUCAACUGACGCUCAUGCACGAAAGUGUGGGUAGCGAACAGGAUUAGAUACCCUGGUAGUC